rnacentral:rRNA from 1 species
AACGAACGCUGGCGGCAUGCCUAACACAUGCAAGUCGAACGAGACCUCCGGGUCUAGUGGCGCACGUGUGCGUACCGCGUGGGAACCUGCCCUUAGGUUCGGUAUAACUCCCCGAAAGGGGUGCUAAUAACGGAUAAUGUCUUCGGACCAAAGAUUGAUCGCCUUUGGAUGGGCCCGCGUUGGAUUAGCUAGUUGGUAGGGUAAUAGCAUAUCAAGGCGACGAUGCAGAGCUGGUCGGAGAGGAGGCUCAGCCGCACUGGGACUGCGACACGGCCCAGUCUGCUACGCAGGAGAGCAGAGGGGAACAUUAUGGGCUGGACGAUGGUCUGGUCAAGCAGUGCCGGGUAAGUGAUGAAGGCCUUAGGGUUGUGAAGCUCUUUUACCCGGAGUGAUAAUGACAGUACCGGGAAAAUAAGCACCGGCUAACUCCGUG